UUCUAUGUAUAUACCUACUUUCGGCUCUUUUUCUACCCAAAUCUAUUACAAAAUCCAAAUCCCACUACAUUCUUACUACCUCCCUUUUCUCUUCAAGAAAGACAACUUUUGUCAAAACUGUGUUCUCAAACAAAGAUUGAAGUUAGAAAGAAAUAAGAAUAAAAAAUAUAUAUACCGAUAAAUAGUACCUCAUGUUCCAAGAGAAGUAAAAACUUCUAAAUUUAGCAAGCUUGCUAAAAAUCAAUACAACCUGCAAAAUAUUACUAAAAUUUUGUUCAAACUUAUAUCGCAUUAGUACAAUAUCAUUCAAACAACAAUAUCUAAUUUAAAUAAUACCUUUGCUACUAAAAUUUCUUCAUGCUUGUAAAUAUCAAUAUUGAUCCAAUUUCAAAAAGCUGAAUUUCUCAUCUUUUACCCUUGUCUUUAGCUUACAUGACUUGUGAGUUGUACAUUACAAAAAUUCACUCAACCUUUCCAAACCAUACUCCAUGCCUUACAUUUAUAGUAAGUUCUACAUUACAAAAUUUUCACUUGGCACAACCCAUAUAGAGACAUACAAAGAAAUAUCAAUACAUAUUCAAAA
rnacentral:lncRNA from 1 species